UUCCUUAUUAGGCUGAAAUUUCUGAGAACUAGUGCUAAGUGUUUUUAUUGAUUGAUUGAUUGAGAUAGUGUCUCACUCUGUCACUCAGGCUGGAGGGCAGUGGUGCAAUCUCGGCUCACUGCAACCUCUGCCUUCCGGGCUCAAGCCAUUCUCUUGCUUCAGCUUCCCGAGUAGCUGGGACGACAGGUGUCAAGGCAAAGUCCCUAGAGGCACUGCCCAUGGAAUCUAAUAGCAGAAAGGAAGAGGGUGUGCCUAGGGAUGAGGGAAGGGCCGAAGGAAGCAGCCCUUCUAAGAGUGCGUCUAGGAGACUCGGGGCUUAGGUGCCUCAUGGAUCCUGUGAGACUCAAGAGCUUGUUCUGAUGAAGCAGGCUGCCACGUUGUGAGCUGCAUAUGGAAAGGCCCAUGCUGCAUGGCACUGAGGAGCCUCCAGGCAGCAGCCAGUGAGGAGCUGGAUCCUGCCAGCCACCAUGUGAGUGAGCUGGGAAGUGGAUCCAACUCCAUUUCAGCCUUGAGAUGGCCACAGUCCCAUGGACAUCCUACUUGCAGCCUUGUGAGGGGCCUUGAGCCCAAGACCCAGCUAAGCCACACCCAGAUUCUCAACCCAGAGAAACAGUGAGAUAAUAAACUGUGCUGGUUUUUAAGCCACUAUGUUUUGGGGUAAUUUGUUACACCACAAUAGAUAACUAAUUCAGCCAGUAACAUAGACAGAUA